GGAGUCGCACGUGAGCACAAGCUCAGGGGAGAUCAGGUAGGAGGGCUCACCGGCUUCUGCAGGAGGCACACCUCAUCAAGGAGGAGAUGGGAUGCACUCAGAGCAGAACUUCCUGAGGCCAAGGAGGCGACGGACACGGACUCUUCCAGCCUUAGCUGUCCUUGUGUCCUUGUGGUCUCCGUGGAUCCCCCUAUCUGACUUGAGACCAUGUUGAAAGUUCCAGGAGGGGACAGCGGCCCCGGCCCCAGAGAAGAGAGCCUCAGUUCCCAUAUCUGUAAGCUGCGGACAAUAGAACCUAUUUUUCGGGCCACGAUGAAGAAUAAGUGAAACAUGAGAAAUGGAGCUCCUAGCACAGCCUGGCACGUGGUUGUGGUUCAUAAGUGGUGGUUCUUGGUCUGUGAGUCCACCUGGCUUCAGUCUCUAUUGGUUUGAGUCCAGAGUUGUAAACUCAGAAGCCCGCGGGGUCAGGCAGCAUGCACAAGUGAUACGGCUGGAUGCAGGCCAGAGACCACAGGACAGGAGGGGACUGUGGGCACCUGGAGACCGAAAGCCAGCUUAAGGCCUCUGCUGAGUGCCAGUUCCCUGCUGUGGGGUGGGAACAUGGGGCCGGCAUUGCCAGUUUCUGAUUUUUCAAGAGAAGCUGGGAAGCCAAAUCUUUGUCUGGCAUCCUUCCGUUUUAAACAUUGUCCCAGACUUGUUAUGACACGCUGUGAUGGUCAAACAGAACACAUCUGGGCACUGUAUUUGGUCCACAGGAUGCUGCUUAGCAACCUCUGGUGUAAGUACUGCUGUCUCAUUUUGAGCAGCCUCGGUGACAGGGAGCUCACUACCUCACUGGGCAGACUCUCGCCCCGGCUCUGGGUAAGUGAUGAUGAUACAGAGUGUCUCUGAGUGGCCGCCUAGGCUCCAGGAUCACAGAUUUCCAGGGCCCUGGCAAUGCUUUCUUGGUAAAGCCUGGCUGGCAGAGAACAUCCUCUCUGAAGCCAAGGCAGUGCCCCUGGCCUCCCUGUGGCCCGCUCUGGCUGGGAAAUGUGGAUUCUUCAACAUCCCCUGGGCCCAAGCAGGACCGCCUGGCCGGCCUCAGUAGCCCUUCUAUUAAUUAGCAGCUGGCAGCAGCAGCUCCGUGAGAGCCCUUGAGCCAAGGGGUAUGUGUGCUGGAGCCGGCUGCCUCCUCAGUUACAUGACAAGUCCCCCGGGGGACUGGGGCCAGACCUUCUGCUCUGGGUGAAUUCCCCCAUGGUGGCCAGUGUUGUGAGGCCACUCAGGCGAUGACACUUGUCAGCCCUGUCAUCUAGAUGUAGAUGGAUGCUUACCAGGCUGGGCAGUGGCAGCGAGAAGUGACAGGCAAGUCCAGCCCAGUGGGGCCGCUAGGCAUGGUCUGGGGUGGGGGAAGGGGCAUUAAGCUUGAGACCCCCGCCUCCGAAGGUGCCAAGGCCACUGCUCUCACUGAAUGUGUCUGUCCUCCUCCCAGCCAGCCACCAUCAGCUACCCCUCACACCAGCUCGCCUGCCUGGCACCUCUGGACUCCCUCACUGACAACAUCUGUUCCUUCCCAGAAAUCUCAUUACAACGCAGCAGUCACCAUACUCCCUGCCCCUUCUCCAGCCGGCCACCCCUCCGGCCCUUUGAAGGGGCAGGAAGCUGUGAGAACAGUGGGACAGGAUGAAUUAAUGAGGGCCCUCAGGCCACCUGGCCUCCUCCUGCUCGCCCCAUCCCAACAGCCAGCAUCCGGGGCCGGCAGUGUCCAGGCAGUGAUGCAGGAAGGGAGGGAGGCCAUGGAUCUGACAUCCCCAAGCCUGUGCCGACCUCUGUGGCUGAGGGCGGCUCAACUCAGUUCACAGAACUCACCCUGCUGUGUGUCCUCAAGGCCAAGAGGAGGAGAGAGUCUCUGGCCUCAAGAAACUCAGUCAGGGAGCCCAGGUUAUCCGUGGAACACACGCUCUGAACCUCAGUACUCUCAGCAUGGUUCUAGGCGGGGUACCAGCAGCCUCGGUUCACCUGCGCACUUAUCAGGAUGCAGAAGCUCAGACCCAUCCCAGACCUAAAGAGUCAGAAUUUGCAUUUUAACAGGCCCUUGGUGAGUAGGAUGCCAGGAUGGCAUGAGAAGCACUGCACUGUGACCUACACAGAGCUCUAUGCAAAUGCCAUGUGAUGGGCAAGGAGGGGGGAGAUGGAUGAGGGUGGCCACACUGGGCUGAGAGGGCAUCCCAGGAGACCCCAGGGCCCUCAGCCUGGGAGAGGAGGGCACAUGGAAGGCAGGGGGCCCAGCAUUGUGUGAGACAGCCCACUUGACUGCCCCAAAGCCUGGCGCUCACAGCAGCUAAGGGAACAAAUGGGGCGGGGCCGGGCAGGAGAAAGGCCCCCAGCCUCAUCUUGCAGCAGCCGGACACGGAAUUGAAGCCUUGCAAUGGGGAGAACCCAGAGGGUCCUGGCCCCCAGCCCCGUUGGGUUUCUGUGCACUCGACAUCCCGGGAGCACCUUGGCCCUGCGCUGAAUGCUGGCCUUUUGCAGCGCAUCCUCCACCUGCCCGAGUCUUAGCAGGUGGAGCACAUCCUCGUCACUGGAGAAUCCUGCUGCCCACCGGGCCAGCUGACAGCACCACCCAGGCAGCUCACCUUGGAAUUCCC